GAUUCAGUAGCUCAGCAGGCAGAGCACCUGCCUUUUAAGCAGGGUGUCCGGAGUUCGAAUCUCCGCUGAAUCACCA
rnacentral:tRNA from 1 species